GUGUGAGGAUCGGACGUUAAUUUGAAUUGAGUUAAAAUAUUUUUAAGAGUUACUUCUAUAUUAUUUUUAAUACUGUAAUAUCUAAAUCAUUGAUCAAAGAAGUUAAACAGGAUCUAUACUAUUUAAACUAUCUGAAAAUUAAAUUUUAUAAUUUUAGAUAUCUUUUAUCCUUCAUUUAAGUAGUUUCAAAAUUAACAAUUUUUUCAACGGUGUAUAUGCAAUGCAAUUGAGACUAAUCGGUUAUUAAAUAGAUACUAUGGAAAAGAUCGCUAUAUUUAGUUUUUAAAAAAGUUUAUAUGUUACAAAAUAUAUUGAACGA
rnacentral:lncRNA from 1 species